AAAUUGAAGAGUUUGAUCAUGGCUCAGAUUGAACGCUGGCGGCAGGCCUAACACAUGCAAGUCGAACGGUAACAGGAAGCAGCUUGCUGCUUUGCUGACGAGUGGCGGACGGGUGAGUAAUGUCUGGGAAACUGCCUGAUGGAGGGGGAUAACUACUGGAAACGGUAGCUAAUACCGCAUAACGUCGCAAGACCAAAGAGGGGGACCUUCGGGCCUCUUGCCAUCAGAUGUGCCCAGAUGGGAUUAGCUAGUAGGUGGGGUAACGGCUCACCUAGGCGACGAUCCCUAGCUGGUCUGAGAGGAUGACCAGCCACACUGGAACUGAG
rnacentral:ncRNA from 1 species